rnacentral:rRNA from 1 species
AGUGAACGCUGGCGGUAGGCCUAACACAUGCAAGUCGAACGGCAGCACAGUAAGAGCUUGCUCUUACGGGUGGCGAGUGGCGGGCGGGUGAGGAAUACAUCGGAAUCUACUUUUUCGUGGGGGAUAACGUAGGGAAACUUACGCUAAUACCGCAUACGACCUACGGGUGAAAGCAGGGGAUCUUCGGACCUUGCGCGAUUGAAUGAGCCGAUGUCGGAUUAGCUAGUUGGCGGGGUAAAGGCCCACCAAGGCGACGAUCCGUAGCUGGUCUGAGAGGAUGAUCAGCCACACUGGAACUGAGACACGGUCCAGACUCCUACGGGAGGCAGCAGUGGGGAAUAUUGGACAAUGGGCGCAAGCCUGAUCCAGCCAUACCGCGUGGGUGAAGAGGGCCUUCGGGUUGUAAAGCCCUUUUGUUGGGAAAGAAAAGCAGCAGGUUAAUACCCCGCUGUUCUGACGGUACCCAAAGAAUAAGCACCGGCUAACUUCGUG